AGAGGCCACUGCUAUCGGGGUUCGAUUAAGCCAUGCGAGUCGAGAGGUGCAAGACCUCGGCGUACUGCUCAGUAACACGUGGACAACCUACCCUGCGGAAGGGGAUAACCCCGGGAAACUGGGGAUAAUACCCUAUAGGAUAUUGAUGCUGGAAUGCGCGAUAUCUGAAAGUUGAGGCGCCGCAGGAUGGGUCUGCGGCCGAUUAGGUAGUUGUUGGGGUAACGGCCCAACAAGCCUGUAAUCGGUACGGGUUGUGGGAGCAAGAGCCCGGAGAUGGAUUCUGAGACAUGAAUCCAGGCCCUACGGGGCGCAGCAGGCGCGAAAACUUUACAAUGCGGGAAACCGUGAUAAGGGAACCCCGAGUGCCCGUAGAAUCGGGCUGUUGAUCUGUGUAAAAAGC
rnacentral:rRNA from 1 species